rnacentral:lncRNA from 1 species
CCAAGGCCUGCUGCUGCGAUGUGUGAGUAGAGGAGAUAACUUCUAUUGUUUUUCAUCCGAGAUCGUGGUCCUUCCCUCCCAACGGUGCAAGUCACGCCUUACGCGGCCGCCGCCAGAGAACAAAUGCGACUCAAGCGAGGCCGCAAGCGGAUCCAACGGAUUGCGGCAGCUACCAAUCUAUGAUGUCACGCAGAAACAAGUCUUCAAGACGUUCAGAUGGCCUGCCGGGAAGAAGAUCAUUGGUGAGGUCGCUGGCUUGCUGCUCCUGAUCUAGUGCUCCGGCUUUGCAGUUUCUUCUCACUUCUGAUCUGAUCGCUUCAGGACUCCUUCUGUUUUUCUGCCACAAAGCUCCUUCAUCCGAUGAUAUGUGUAUCAGGUAGUUUAUCCACCGGUUCACCAAUCAGCCCUAUCUGCUUCAACGGCUGGAUCUCCAAUGUAUACUAUUAAUCAUUAAAUCACUACCAUUUUCACUACAUGCACGUUGGCAAUUAUAUUAUUUUAGCUCAACAGAUUUGUAAUUGUUGUCUUUCAGCACUACCUGAUAUUAUAUCAUCUGGAAAGUAUCGAUUUGGUAAUAAGCAAGAAAAAGGAAAAUAGACUUGUAGAUGAGUUAAUAUAAUUACAGAGAGGAACUAUGGAUAAUUUUUUUCAAGAGUGAUACAGGGACUUCGAAGAGUUGGCGGUAAUUCCCAGUGGACGAACCAACUAAUGAUGUUAAGAAUCAAGUAAUUGUUUAUGAUACUACUUGUUCUUUGAAUCAACAUUAAGAUGUUUUGUAGAAAUUAUUUUAGUGCA